CGCAUCUGUGCAUGCAGCAUAUCAAUAAGCGGAGGAAAAGAAACUAACAAGGAUUCCCCUAGUAACGGCGAGUGAAGCGGGAAGAGCUCAAAUUUGAAAUCUUAAAGGGUUUCCCUUUACGAAUUGUAGUUUAAAGAAGUGUUUUCUGUUGAGGUUUUGGUAAAAGUUCUUUGGAAUAGGACAUCAUAGAGGGUGAGAAUCCCGUAUUUGACCUUUACUUUCAACUUUGUGAUACACUUUCAAAGAGUCGGAUUGUUUGGGAAUGCAGUCCAAAAUGGGUGGUAAAUUUCAUCUAAAGCUAAAUAUUGGCGAGAGACCGAUAGCGAACAAGUACCGUGAGGGAAAGAUGAAAAGAACUUUGAAAAGAGAGUUAAACAGUACGUGAAAUUGUCAAAAGGGAAGCGUUUGACACCAGUGUUGUUUUUCUGAAAAUCAAUUAAAGAACUGUUUAUGCUAAGUUGUUUAGACUUUAUCAGCUAAUCUGCUUAGUUUUGAGCUUUUCUUUAAUGCACUUUUCAGUUAACAAGUCAACAUCAAUUUCUUUUGCUGUAAAAAAGCUUGAGGAAGGUGGCUUGAGAUUCGUCUUAAGUGUUUAUAGCCUCUUGCCUAUGCAGUCGGAGAGAUUGAGGUCUGCAGCGUAGAUCCCUUCGGGGCUAAAUGCAUUUGUGCUGAGUUAUAGCAUUUUAUAGACAACUUGUUGACUAUGAUUUGUCUUGUAGCUUACUCGCUUAUGUUAUUUUACCUACGCUUAGGAUGUUGAAUCUGUGCGAGACUA
rnacentral:rRNA from 1 species